AUUGAAUGCUGGCGGCAUGCCUUACACAUGCAAGUCGAACGGUAACGGGCCUUCGGGUGCCGACGAGUGGCGAACGGGUGAGUAAUGUGUCGGAACGUACCUUUCAGUGGGGGAUAACGUAGCGAAAGUUACGCUAAUACCGCAUAUUCUGUGCGCAGGAAAGCAGGGGAUCGCAAGACCUUGCGCUGAUUGAGCGGCCGAUAUCAGAUUAGCUAGUUGGUGAGGUAAAGGCUCACCAAGGCGACGAUCUGUAGCGGGUCUGAGAGGAUGAUCCGCCACACUGGAACUGAGACACGGUCCAGACUCCUACGGGAGGCAGCAGUGGGGAAUUUUGGACAAUGGGGGCGACCCUGAUCCAGCCAUGCCGCGUGAGUGAGGAAGGCCUUCGGGUUGUAAAGCUCUUUCGGCCGGGAAGAAAUCGUAUCAGCUAAUACCUGGUGCGGAUGACGGUACCGGCAUAAGAAGCACCGGCUAACUACGUGCCAGCCGCCGCAGUAAUAC
rnacentral:rRNA from 1 species